CCUGCGAGUUAUAAAAAAACAGAGAUGAUAUGAGUAUAGAGAGAAGUGGAAAUUUCGCGAAAAAACAGCUGCCGGGCGAAAUUUCGUCAUUUUUUAGAAUUUAUAUAGAACGUAGUAAAUUAUUACAAAAUAUAAACAUUCAUUCAAUACUGGAGCGACUUAAAUAAACGCAUACGUCAGAUCCUGAAAUUCAAAACAAGCCGUUGCAUAAGCUGAUCUAAGCAAGGCUCGAAAAUAUUUCCUAAAAAACCUGCGCGAAACAUACACCUUGCCAUACUCUCUCUCUCUAUAUAUAUAUAUAUAUAUAUGAAUUCUACACCCACGUGAAAAUACAUAUAAAUACAUGUAUGAAGCAUAUCCACGCGAUUAGCGCGCGGUGAAUCAGCGGUGCCUGAUUUGGAAAAGCGAGUUUCUCGCGCCAGCGGGAAAACUUAGCGGUCACUAUAACGCGGCGCGAAAAAUAAAAGCAGAAGGUCGCAGCAGCUGAUGCUGGGAGUCAAGAGAGCAAAUAUUCGCGCUAAGAGGCGCGGCAUCUUCGGUCUAUUGUAAUUGUAUGGUACACACAUAUUUUAUAUAGAUGAUUCUGAAGUUCUGUCCUGCUCUGACACAAAAUGUAUAUGGAAAGAACCUCAGAAUGAAACUUUGCAGCAGUAUAAAGCCACCAAAGUACAAUGUCAUGAGUGCUACAGUCAUAGGUGUAUAAGGAUUGUAACGGUAUUCAGUUAUCUGAUGUACAAAUUAACAAAAUUAAAGAAAUUUUACAAGAAUCUGGUGACAAUGCUUUUACGAAGUAUAUGUAAGCACAAAUAUUUGAAAGUUAUCGCUUAAAUUGUGUAUAUACCCUGGUAGAAUAUACAACAUCUUUUAUAUUAUUUUUUUACAAGUAAUGGAAGACACGCUGUGAUAGAUAUCAAUAAGAAUGUUGAAGUUAGAAACUAACAGGUAGAAUUAAUAAAUUCAAUAGUAAAUAAUGAAGAAUCAGAUAUUAUGAAAAGAGUAUCUCAAGUUCCAGUAAACAAGAUGCAAAAUUAUUGCUAUAACAAGAUUACCAAGCUUUAUGAAGAAAAUGUUUUGCUGGCUUGUAUUAAUACAGAAAGUUCACUUUCUCAAUGGACUUAGACUUAGACAGUUUUGUAUCACUGGAUCAAGAGUUUAUAAGAUAUAUACUUAUUGUUCAAACAAGAAUCCAGAUUGGAAAAAAAAAUCUUUGGGUUAUUUACAUGGGAAAAAAUAUAAGUUGAUUGCCAUUGCAGAAUAUGAGAAGCAUAAAAAAAAAAGUAAUAACAUGUGGAGCAGUUAUUUCUCAAUCAAAUGCAUGGAUAUCAUACAGUCCAGAUGGUAUUGUAAUGGAAAAUGGUAAACCCUCAAUAUUGGUAGAAGUGAAGUGU